rnacentral:rRNA from 1 species
UGGGGAAUAUUGCACAAUGGGCGAAAGCCUGAUGCAGCAACGCCGCGUGAGUGAUGAAGGCCUUCGGGUUGUAAAGCUCUGUCUUUUGGGACGAUAAUGACGGUACCAAAGGAGGAAGCCACGGCUAACUACGUGCCAGCAGCCGCGGUAAUACGUAGGUGGCGAGCGUUGUCCGGAUUUACUGGGCGUAAAGGAUGCGUAGGCGGAUAUUUAAGUGAGAUGUGAAAUACCCGGGCUUAACUUGGGUGCUGCAUUUCAAACUGGAUAUCUAGAGUGCGGGAGAGGAGAAUGGAAUUCCUAGUGUAGCGGUGAAAUGCGUAGAGAUUAGGAAGAACACCAGUGGCGAAGGCGAUUCUCUGGACCGUAACUGACGCUGAGGCAUGAAAGCGUGGGUAGCAAACA